rnacentral:lncRNA from 1 species
AAAGUUAUUUGCAUUCUUGAAAACUAUUGUGUAACAUUUAUGCUAUAUCGUAUUGACUCAUUUAGGCACAUGUGUAUCCCAUUGUUCCGCAUUUGCUUUCGAUAUGUGCCUCUUCUAUUUCCUUUCAAAAUCCGAAUACCAUUGUGAAAGAUUAUUGCUUACUUCGUAUUGACUCGUAAAGGCACAUGUACGUUUUGUUGUUCCGCGUGUGCUUCCGAUAUAUGCUACUUAUUGAUAAAACUGUCCUCUUGUACUCUGGUGUUGUGGGAUUGUCUGGACCUUUGCUAGAAAUGGUAAAGGGUGUUAUUCUGGACCUUUGCCAGAAAUGGUGAAGGGUGUUAUUCUGGACCUUUGCCAGAAAUGGUAAAGGGUAUGUGCUUAGAGCCUGCAAUGCUCUGCCGGCCCCCUCUGGCUUCACCUAGACGUGGGUGGAUGGAGCUCCCAGACGUGGGAGACUUCUGUCAGGUGGUCAUUCAGAAAUGGAUGAAUCACAUUCUGACUGAGAUCCACUACACCUUCUAUAUGUUUGAUAUGAUAUCCAGAGCUUUGGUUAUGUAUUUCUGUACAUGCUUUGGAUAAGAAUGAUAUGAUUGCAACGUCAAAGACGACGUUUGAGCUUCUAUACGGUAUUUGUUAUUGAUAUGCUCUGAAAAGUUUCAUUCACUGUUGAUAUGCUUCGAAAUGUUCCAUAUGCCAUUGAUAUGCUCCGGAACAUUUCAUACGCCAUUGAUAAGCUCCGAAACAUUUCAUUUGUUAUUGAUAUGCUUCGAAAUGUUCCAUACGCCAUUGAUAUGCUCCGGAACAAUUCAUAUGCCAUUGAUAAGCUCCGAUAUAUUUCAUUUGUUAUUGAUAUGCUUUGAAAUGUACCCUUUGCCAUUGAUAUGCUCCGGAACAUCUCGUACGCUAUUGAUAUGCUCCAAUUACUCUAUGCUCCAUUUGUUAUGAAUCAAAUAUGUUUGAAAUGACAUGAUACAUAUGAUUUUGUAUCUAAUGAAAUGGUAUCCUUGAGAAUUCUUGUAUUCUGCCUUGCAUUAUGAUACCUUGUUUGAAACCAUUCCUUUUGUUCUGAAUAUGCUUUGUCACUUGCUGAG